AGAGUUUGAUCCUGGCUCAGGAUUAACGCUGGCGGCAUGCCUAAUACAUGCAAGUCGAACGAGAGUAGCAAUACUCUAGUGGCGAACGGGUGAGUAACACGUAGGAAACCUGCCUCAAAGUCGAGGAUAACUACUGGAAACGGUAGCUAAAACUGGAUAGGAUAUAUUAAGGCAUCUUGAUAUAUUUAAAAGUCCUUCUGGGAAUGCUUUGAGAUGGUCCUGCGGCGCAUUAGCUAGUUGGUGAGGUAGUAGCUUACCAAGGCGACGAUGCGUAGCUGAGCUGAGAGGCCAAACAGCCACACUGGGACUGAGACACGGCCCAGACUCCUACGGGAGGCAGCAGUAGGGAAUUUUCGGCAAUGGGGGAAACCCUGACCGAGCAAUGCCGCGUGAAUGAUGAAAUUCUUCGGAAUGUAAAAUUCUGUUGUGAGGGAAGAAAGGUAGUAUCAGGAAAUGGGUAUUACUUGACGGUACCUUACUAGAAAGCCCCGGCUAACUAUGUGCCAGCAGCCGCGGUAAUACAUAGGGGGCGAGCGUUAUCCGGAAUUAUUGGGCGUAAAGCGUGCGUAGGCGGCCGUUUAAGUCUGUCGUGAAAGCCCACAGCUUAACUGUGGAGGGUCGAUGGAAACUGGAUGGCUUGAAUCUAGAAGAGGUAAGUGGAAUUCCAUGUGUAGCGGUAAAAUGCUUAGAUAUAUGGAGGAACACCAGUGGCGAAGGCGGCUUACUGGUCUAGCAUUGACGCUGAGGCACGAAAGCGUAGGUAGCAAACAGGAUUAGAUACCCUGGUAGUCUACGCUGUAAACGAUGAGCACUAAGUGUCGGACGUAAGUUCGGUGCUGUAGUUAACGCAUUAAGUGCU
rnacentral:rRNA from 1 species